rnacentral:lncRNA from 1 species
CAGGUUUAUGUGAAAGCCAAUCAGGAUUAAAACUUCUUAUUCAUGCUUUUCCUGUAUUUGGCCAAUGACUCAAGCAGUCAUGGGCCAAUGCUAGGAAAUCCUUGCUCUCAAAUGUUAGUACCUUGAUCUCCGCCCCCUCACACCACCUUUUUCCUUUUUGAGGUCUUGGCGUAGGCAGGGGUGGGACAGCUAACCCUUCUAUUUAUCAUCUUGACAUCCCCUGCAGUAAUUUGAGACUUUGUCUCAUUUUUACCUUUAAUUUUCCUCUCUGCACUGGUCUUUCCCUUGGGCCAUACAUCCGUUAAGUCUGCCCCAUCCUAGAUUACCACCACAAACAGAAAUCUUAUCACCCCACUUUUCCCUUUGACUCUUCCUCUCUCUCUUCCCAGUGAGUUACCCCAGCCUUUUAUCAACUUUACCUUGGUAAUAUACCACUCACCAUUCAAGUCUGCUGCUCAAAAGGAGCUCACACUUCCCCAUUGACAUCUUCACUCCUAAGUCUCACCCAGGGUCCUCCAAGACCUUAUCAGUUAGUCUAUAUUCCUCUCAUAUUGUACCCUGUCUUUGCAGCUCCAUAAUUUUAACACAAAUUCUUUAUACCUGGAAUGCCAGCCAUUACCAGCUGGCAUGCUGAAAUGUGUCUAUACUGCAAGUCCCAGUUUAAAUGCUACCUACCUCCUCCAAGAUAUCUUCCCCAUUUACCUCAAACUCAAACUAAUUCUCUGAAAUCCCUCAUUACUUUGUUUGAAUCACUCCUAUUAUAGCUACAGGGCUAUAAUAUGGAAGUUCCCAGGCUAGGGGUCGAACUGGAGCUAUAGUUGCUGGCCUGCACCACAGUCACAGCAAUGCCACAUCUGAGCCACAUCUAAAACCUAUACCACAGCUUGUGGCAACAUCAAAUCCUCUAACUGAUCAAGCAAGGCCAGGGAUUGAACCCUGGUCCUCAUGGAUACUAGUCUGAUUCUUUACCUGCUGAGCCACAACAGGAACUCCUGGUGUAUAUUUUUUUCAUUGUCUCUACUACAUUACAUGCUGUUGAAAUGAACUAUGUACAUAUUUUGUAAAGAAAAAAAUGCAUUUAUGUUGCAAGCUAUAAAUAGAUGUUUUCUAAAUAAAUUUAAAAUAGGCAGAAAUUAAAAUAUAUUUUCUUAAUUGAAUAUUAAUUUCAUACUGGAUAAUCAAGUUUCUACAGUUUCAAAUCAUUAAAAAUAAUUUAGUACCUCUAUUAUGCAUUAUUACUAAAAGCUCUCCUGAAUUCCUUAUACAAAUUUUCACUUCGUGAAAAUAUAAAUAUAUGCAUAUAUAUAAAACUCAGAGAAGUUUGAGACACAGUUAUUUGAUCUGUAUCCCUGAAAGUCUAACUUUCUUUGUAUUCUCCCAUAUGGUCAGGAACUGAGACACUCUUUCUCCCCAGACCAUCUCCUUCCUUAAGAAGACAUGCCUAAAUGACACUCCAGAUGGGAUGUUUCUCCCAAAGGCCCUCCGACAUCUGCCUAGCCCAUCGGCCCUGCUUAAUAUCCACCUCUCUGAAGAUCACAGUCAGAUGUCCUGACAGCUCAAAACAGCAGUUGGAUUUUCCGUGAUGCUAUUGUUUGGAGGAAUCAAAGUAAGGGAAAAUCCAAGGCAGACAAUGAGCCCAGAGGAAGAAGAUAUGUAGCAAUGGGCUCAGUCCCUGGGGAUAAAAUUGCCUGAUAGAAGGACUCAGCCAACAGGACAGUCCCACAGCUGUAACUUGGAGAGAACAGGGGUCUUGGAGCACACUGGAUUUACCACCCAAGAGUCUGUAGAACUAGGAUCUUUAGUUGUUCCAGCCAGCAAUACCAAUCCAGAUUCUCUAACCCAACAAAUCUGUGAUCCAAUGGUUAAAAAAGGAAAAAAAUACAAAGUAAAUUCAAAAUAGUUGUAUACAUCUAUAGUCCUUUAGCUCUCACCCAAAUCCUCCUCUAUUAUUGUUCUCUGAAAACCCACUUUUUAACCAUCCUUAUAACCACUGUUUAAUUUCUUCAACCCCAAGACAGACCUACAGACUGAAGUUGGAAGCAAGUGAGAAAAAUCCUGGAUAGAUAUUUACAACCCUCCAAAGCUGAAGUCAUACUUCUAUCCUCAUUGAGAUUUGGAUUCAGUGCCAGGAUUACAAGUGGCAAGUGAGACGGCACUGUCUCCAAGUGUCCACAGCAAGGCUCUCCUCUUCAGGCCAUCAGGCUGGUAUCUUCCCAAAUGAGCUAUUUUCAAAGUCUGCUCUGACUCAAAAUGCCUCCUGCUCCUGCAGAGCUCUGCCUAAACUCUCUUCUUUUGGGGAGGCAAGAUCGGUAGAAUUAAGAGCAUGUAGUUCUCUCCUUCUCACUUACAACAGUUUUAGUGAAUUCAUUAAUUUGUGUAUUUUCAUGAUCUAUAUCACCUUUAAUAUAUAGGUCCUGUAAAGGCAAUGACGACAUCUGCCUUGUUCUUUUCCACAUCUACUGUGUCUGGCAUGUAAAUGGUAUUAAGUCCUUAUUGAAUGAAUGGCAGAGCAGGGGAAUGGUUAGAAACACAACUGAAGGGCAGGGUUGGUGGGUAGAGACACAUUUGCUGAUAUUUUCUGAUUAAAUAUGCAUUUGACAAUAUACACACAUCUUCUAUAGCUUUUUAGAAGUUGUCUAUGUGCUUCUGCUCUGGACCUCUGCACUUUCCAGCCAUGCCACUCCUUCCGGGAUGCCUUCCUUCUAUCAGUCUCUAUCCCAACAGCUAUCCUCUACCCUGCCCUUCCUUUUGAUGACCUAGCAUAUUCCUCCCCUUUGUUAUACAUUAGCAUGUGCAGACGGUCCAGGGGCUCCAUUUGUUGAGGAAGCGUUCAUGAGAGAGCAAGGCCCACUUGACAACUGUAUAGAGGCCUGGUCCUGUUUAUCAUAGCAUAUGCUAUAAAAGAUCAAAGCUGAGCAGAGAGGUCUGUUCAGGUCUUAUAUGUCCACAGAAUGUGACUCCCAAGGCUGCAUCUUCAUUACUGACACCUGCUUUCCAGGCCUCAGCUGCCUGCUCAACAUCCCCACAUAGAUUUCCUCCUCUCACAGCAGACUCCACAUGCCUCAAAUUAAACUCAUCGCUGGUGCCUUUUGCAGCAUUUAUCUUUUUAACAACUUAGCUCCCAUUCCAGAAUUCCUCAAUGGAAGCUUCAAUUGCUCUUUUUCAAUCGAUUUUUUUCUUUCACCUUUAUAUUCUGUUGCCAGUUCCUGUUGAUCCUCCCCCUUGAAAUGUCCAUUUGAUUUGCCCUUUUGUGUUGAGGUCUUCCAUUGCCAUCCCAACCUAAAUUUUCAUCACCAUAGUCUUCAUUCACCCAUAUUUUGUACUUUAAUAUUUAUAUCUAAAUUCACUUGGCAAACCAAUUUAAUCUUUCUAUGGCUCCCUUAAAAAAAAAAAAAAAAAAAAAAAAACUUCUGUUUCUCAUUUUCUAGCACAUGAAGAUCCAAAAAUCCAUGAAUGACUUCCCCAAAUCUGGCCCCACCCUACAUACUGGUCCAAUCUUACAUCCCAAGAUUCUUCAAGACACAUCAUAGUUCUCCAGGAAAAACAACAAAAACAUAUUAAUUAAGCAUCUACUUUGUGCCAGGCCAGUGAUUGGCUCUGGAGAUAAGGCAAAUCCAAGACAGUCAUGAUUCCUAUCCUUAUGCAUCCUACAGUUUACUUCAAGUUUUUUUCCUUUGACUCUUCCAGCAGUGCGCUGCCACUUAAUAUUUACUCACAUGCCAUUAUAUUGCUGACUUAUUCAACCAAAAAGUAUUUAUUAACCAUAUAAUUUCGGUAAGCACCAUGCUUGGCAGGUGGAAGCUUCAAGCCCUGGAAUUUGGAGAUUUCAUCACCAGUGUAUACCCAGUAUCCAUAACAAUACCUGGAGGUGGGCAAGUAGUCCAUAGCCCUCUUUAAAUGAAUGAGUCACAUAAUAAAAGGUUAUAAACAUUAAGCUGCCUGAAUUUAGAGGAGAGAGAAAUCAGAAUGCUGAGUUUGAAGAAGGCUGUGCUUUGGGGGAGGUGUGGGCUAUACACAGACUGAGAAGUAGGAGGGCAUUUCAAGCAAGUGCAGCACAUGAAUGUGAGGCAAGGAAGUGGGGCCAACUGCCCUUCACUCUCUGCUCCGUUUCCAUAGUGAUGGAGUAUACAGAGCCAUGCUAGCCCUUGAACCAGGAUUAUCCAUGCAACUAUGAUCUCACCUAUAAAAUGUGGGCAGAAACAAUAUGUACAGGGUCCACAUCAUCUGCUUUAAAAGUCAAUAGGAUAGGAUAUGUUGUGGAAUAAACACAAGUUUAUUUCUUGCUCACAAAAAUAUGCUACAAGCUCAGGGGACUUCUUUGCAUUCACUCAGGAGUCUCACUGGUUUCCAUCUCAUCGUACUUCCACAUCAGGUGUUUUGUGGUCACUGUGGCAAGGGGAGCAAGGGCUGGAAAGUCAAGCCCCAGCAAUGAAAACUUUAGCACACCAGUGACUCAGGCCACACUGGUUCCUAUCGCUUUAAUCAAAACCAAUCACCUGGCUGUGCCUAACCACAGAAGUGUAACCUUCUGUGUGCCUGUAAAUAGAAAAGAACUGGGUACUGGUAAAUAUUGUUAUCUCUAUUAUACAAAAUGAAAUUACGUGUCCUAGACCUAAUCUCUACUUCCUGAGGGCUAAGACACAUAUGUGCAACGACCAGUCUUUGACUAUAAAAGUGAGGAAAAUUCCCUAUGGAAUUAUGGAAAAAACAAGAUGAAAGGAACUAGAGUCCGUGAAUGAUUUUGUGGAGCAGAACCACUACACCAGGCUGGAACUCCCACUUCCAGACUAUUGUAGGGGAGAGAAAUAAAUUUCUAUCAGGUUCAAGCCCCUGUGUCUUGAAGUCUCUUUCUUUCAGUAUCUUAGACUUACUCUAGCCAAUACCAGAAGAGUUUAGAGAGACAAUGACCUUGACCAGAGUUAGGGUGUGUGUAACGGAGUAGUGUUGUGGCAUUAAAACAGAAAAAAAGAAUAUCCAGAUACACCUGCUUGUUUCCAAACCAAUAAUAAGCUUUGAACUAGGUAGGAACUAAAACACAGAAAACUUUUAUUUUUGGUCUUUUCAAGAUCUAGAAUAUUUCUACAUUCAGAGGGUAUUCUUUUAUAGCUAAUUGUUGGCUGCUAUAUAACAUGAAGAAACAAAACUGCAAGAAAAAACACACAAACAUGGAAACUAAAUAAUAUACUACUAAACAACCAGUGGAUCACUGAAUAAAUCAAAGAGGAAAUUUAAAAAUGCCUAGAGACAAAUGACAAUGAAGACACAAUGGUCCAAAUCCUAUGGGAUUCAGCAAAAGUAGUUCUAAGAGGGGAUUCUAUGGCAAUACAAGCCUAUCUCAGGAAAACAAGAAAAAUCUCAAACAACCUAACUUUACACCUAAAGCAACUAGAGAAAGAAAAACAACCCACCCAAAGUUAGCAGAAGCAAAGAAAUCAUUAAGAUCAGAGCAGAAAUAAAUGAAAUAGAAAUUAAAAAAAAAACAAAAGAAAAUAUCAAUGAAUCUCAAAGCUGAUUCUUCAAAAAGAUCAACAAAAUUGAUAAACCCUUAGCCAGAUUCAUCAAGAAUAAAAGGGAAGAGUUCCCAUCGUGGCUCAGUAGUUAAUGAAUCUGACUAGGAACCAUGAGGUUGUGGGUUUGAUCCCUGGCCUCACUCAGUGGGUUAAGGAUCCGGUGUUGCUGUGAGCUGUGAUGUAGGUCACAGACGUGGCUCAGAUCUUGUGUUACUGUGGCUAUGGUGUAGGCCAGCAGCUGU